GAGAUCAUGAGGCAACAAUCAUGAGGACACGGCUAAGAAGACAGCAGAGAUGAGGAUUCCUGACACGGCAGAGCCACCGAACAACCUCAAAGCUGCUUUUCUUCAGGUAAUGCUGUGUGUUCCAGACAGCAGAAUGUGAGUGGACAUCAUAUGUACCACCUCUGGGCCUGGACCAUAGAACUCACACAUAAUCCUUCAUGUUCUUAUGUGACCACACAGAUGAACAAAGCAAGCCAAGUGUGGAAACGUGUUAAAGAUGACGGAACCACAAGAUGGAACAAGCCUGGAUCCCUGAAUCCCUCCUUGGAGGAUUAGUGCCCACAAAUUGUAAACAGCCACCCAGAUCUCAGCGAGCAAGAAAUAAAUUAUACCUGAAUGUUUUAAAGGGUUUUUUGGUGGGGAA
rnacentral:lncRNA from 1 species